UGGGGAAUAUUGGACAAUGGGCGCAAGCCUGAUCCAGCCAUGCCGCGUGAGUGAUGAAGGCCCUAGGGUUGUAAAGCCCUUUCACCGGUGAAGAUAAUGACGGUAACCGGAGAAGAAGCCCCGGCUAACUUCGUGCCAGCAGCCGCGGUAAUACGAAGGGGGCUAGCGUUGUUCGGAUUUACUGGGCGUAAAGCGCACGUAGGCGGACUUUUAAGUCAGGGGUGAAAUCCCGGGGCUCAACCCCGGAACUGCCUUUGAUACUGGAAGUCUUGAGUAUGGUAGAGGUGAGUGGAAUUCCGAGUGUAGAGGUGAAAUUCGUAGAUAUUCGGGGGAACACCAGUGGCGAAGGCGGCUCACUGGACCAUUACUGACGCUGAGGUGCGAAAGCGUGGGGAGCAAACAGG
rnacentral:rRNA from 1 species